AGCCCACCAGCUAGCUCGCACCCUAAAAUGCAACAACCCCGUAUAAAUAAACCCUAAAAACCUUAAAACCUAAAACAAAACAUUUUCCCCCUUAAGUAUGGGCGACAGAAAGAGACCCCGAAGCUAUAGUAAAAGUACCGCAAGGGAAAGCUGAAAGAGAAGUGAAAUAAAUCAGUGAAGCACAAAAAAGCAGAGCUUAACUCUCGUACCUUUUGCAUCAUGAUUUAGCAAGUAAACGUCAAGCACAAAGCAUUUUAGUUUGACCCCCCGAAACCGAGUGAGCUACUUCAAGACAGCCUGAUUAGGGCAAACCCGUCUCUGUGGCAAAAGAGUGGGAAGAUCUUUAAGUAGGGGUGACAGAUCAAUCGAACUUGGUUAUAGCUGGUUGCCCAGGAAUUGGAUAUGAGUUCAGCCUUUUAUCCUCUUCUUACAAAAUGAUUAACAUCUGAUAAACACAAAUAUAGCACACGAGAGGACAAAAGAGUUAGUCAAAGGGGGUACAGCCCCUUUGAAAAAGAUACAACUUUACCAGCAGGGUUAAGAUCAAAAAUCAAUUUAAAGGACCGUGUUCUGGUUGGCUUGAAAGCAGCCACCCAUGCAGAAAGCGUCUGAGCUCAAACAUAUCCUACCCAUUUAUUCCGACUAUAAUUUCUUACCCCCCUAAACAUACUGGGCCUUUCCAUAUUAAUAUGGAAGAGAUAAUGCUAAUAUGAGUAAUAAGAGACCUGCAAUCUCUCAUAGCACAUGUGUACAUCGGAUCGAACCAACACCGACAAUUAACGGGCCCAAAAGAAGAGGGCAAUGGAAUAUCAUGAACUGUUCACUAGAAAACCCCCCAUAACUCAACCGUUAACCUUACACCAGAGUGCAUACAAAGAAAGACUAAAAGAAAGAGAAGGAAUUCGGCA
rnacentral:rRNA from 1 species